rnacentral:lncRNA from 1 species
UCAGAACCUGACACCCGCUCCAGUUCGUGCGUUCACAUCCUUCUGUUGCAGAAGACCAAGUUCUGACCAGCAUGUAUUGUGAGGCCCGAUCCAGGGCAUCGCUUAGCAAAGCCCUGAGCUUCUGCGCCCUCCCUACUACCUUUCACUUGGCUAAGUGACAUUUGGGGGCUGCUGAGGAAACAGCUCACUCUCUGACUCUGAGACUCAGAACCCAGUGUCUGAGAAGUGCCAUCCAGAACCCCUCCUGUCUUCUAGAGGCGUCCAUUGGUUCUUAACAAUUUGGAUUUCCACUGAUGCACGCUGAAUACCUCAAGAUGUGGUCUGUUUACAUGUCAGAGUCCUCACGGGAGUCCAGUCCUCUAGGGCAAGAUGGGAUCAGGGUGGAGAGGCCUUUUCCGAAACUUCUCUCAACUCUCCCACAUGCCCUGAGAGCUGUUUGAGCAGAGCUGAGCCGAAAGCUGGGUGAGCAAGGCAGUUUGAGAAGGACGACUGCACAGGGAGCUUUGCCACGGGAAGCAGGGGGAACACG